rnacentral:rRNA from 1 species
UUUAUACCUAGCAGUAUCCUGAGUACGGCGAGACACGCGAAAUCUCGUCGGAAUCCGGGAGGACCAUCUCCCAACCCUAAAUACUCUCUAGUGACCGAUAGUGAACCAGUACCGUGAGGGAAAGGUGAAAAGUACCCCGGAAGGGGAGUGAAAUAGAACCUGAAACCGUGUGCCUACAACAAGUUCGAGCCCGUUAAUGGGUGAGAGCGUGCCUUUUGUAGAAUGAACCGGCGAGUUACGAUAUGAUGCGAGGUUAAGUUGAAGAGACGGAGCCGUAGGGAAACCGAGUCUUAAUAGGGCGCAUUAGUAUUAUGUCGUAGACCCGAAACCAUGUGACCUACCCAUGAGCAGGUUGAAGGUGCGGUAAGACGCACUGGAGGACCGAACCAGGGCACGUUGAAAAGUGCUUGGAUGACUUGUGGGUAGCGGAGAAAUUCCAAACGAACUUGGAGAUAGCUGGUUCUCUCCGAAAUAGCUUUAGGGCUAGCGUCGACAUUUGAGAAUCUUGGAGGUAGAGCACUGUUUGGAUGAGGGGGCCAUCUCGGUUUACUGAUUUCAGAUAAACUCCGAAUGCCAAUGAUUUAUGGUCGGCAGUCAGACUGCGAGUGCUAAGAUCCGUAGUCGAAAGGGAAACAGCCCAGACCACCAGCUAAGGUCCCAAAAUAAUUGUUAAGUGGAAAAGGAUGUGGGGUUGCACAGACAACUAGGAUGUUAGCUUAGAAGCAGCUAUUCAUUCAAAGAGUGCGUAAUAGCUCACUAGUCGAGUGACCCUGCGCCGAAAAUGUACCGGGGCUAAAACAAUUUACCGAAGCUGUGGAUAACACUUUAGUGUUAUGGUAGGAGAGCGUUCUAUGUGUGAAGAAGGUAUACCGUGAGGAGUGCUGGAACGCAUAGAAGUGAGAAUGCCGGUAUGAGUAGCGAAAGAUGGGUGAGAAUCCCAUCCACCGUAAGACUAAGGUUUCCAGGGGAAGGCUCGUCCGCCCUGGGUUAGUCGGGACCUAAGGAGAGACCGAAGGGUGUAUCCGAUGGACAACAGGUUGAUAUUCCUGUACUAGAGUAUGAAGUGAUGGAGGGACGCAGUAGGCUAACUAAAGCGGGCGAUUGGAAGUGCCCGUCUAAGCAGUGAGGUGUGAUAUGAGUCAAAUGCUUGUAUCUGUAACAUUGAGCUGUGAUGGGGAGCGAAGUUAAGUAGCGAAGUUAGUGACGUCACACUGCCGAGAAAAGCUUCUAGCGAUGUAUCAUACUCUACCCGUACCGCAAACCGACACAGGUAGUCGAGGCGAGUAGCCUCAGGUGAGCGAGAGAACUCUCGUUAAGGAACUCGGCAAAAUGACCCCGUAACUUCGGGAGAAGGGGUGCUGACUUAAAGUCAGCCGCAGUGAAUAGGCCCAAGCAACUGUUUAUCAAAAACACAGCUCUCUGCUAAAUCGUAAGAUGAUGUAUAGGGGGUGACGCCUGCCCGGUGCUGGAAGGUUAAGAGGAGGGUUUAGCGUAAGCGAAGAUCUGAAUUGAAGCCCCAGUAAACGGCGGCCGUAACUAUAACGGUCCUAAGGUAGCGAAAUUCCUUGUCGGGUAAGUUCCGACCCGCACGAAAGGCGUAAUGAUUUGGGCACUGUCUCAACGAGAGACUCGGUGAAAUUUUAGUACCUGUGAAGAUGCAGGUUACCCGCGACAGGACGGAAAGACCCCAUGGAGCUUUACUGCAGUUUGAUAUUGAGUAUCUGUACCACAUGUACAGGAUAGGUAGGAGCCUACGAAGUCGGGACGCCAGUUUCGACCGAGGCGCUGUUGGGAUACUACCCUUGUGUUAUGGCUACUCUAACCCGGAUAGGUUAUCCCUAUCGGAGACAGUGUCUGACGGGCAGUUUGACUGGGGCGGUCGCCUCCUAAAAGGUAACGGAGGCGCCCAAAGGUUCCCUCAGAAUGGUUGGAAAUCAUUCGCAGAGUGUAAAGGUAUAAGGGAGCUUGACUGCGAGAGCUACAACUCGAGCAGGGACGAAAGUCGGGCUUAGUGAUCCGGUGGUUCCGUAUGGAAGGGCCAUCGCUCAACGGAUAAAAGCUACCCUGGGGAUAACAGGCUUAUCUCCCCCAAGAGUUCACAUCGACGGGGAGGUUUGGCACCUCGAUGUCGGCUCGUCGCAUCCUGGGGCUGUAGUCGGUCCCAAGGGUUGGGCUGUUCGCCCAUUAAAGCGGCACGCGAGCUGGGUUCAGAACGUCGUGAGACAGUUCGGUCCCUAUCCGUCGCGGGCGUAGGAAAUUUGAGAGGAUCUGCUCCUAGUACGAGAGGACCAGAGUGGACUUACCGCUGGUGUACCAGUUGUCUUGCCAAAGGCAUCGCUGGGUAGCUAUGUAGGGACGGGAUAAACGCUGAAAGCAUCUAAGUGUGAAACCCACCUCAAGAUGAGAUUUCCCAUAACUUUAUGUUAGU